rnacentral:rRNA from 1 species
AAUUUUGGACAACGGGGGAAACCCUGAUCCAGCCAUCCCUCGCGUAUGAUUAAGGCCAUCGGGUUGUAAAGUACUUUCCGCAGAGAAGAAUAGUUAUCUCCUAAUACGAGAUACUGCUGACGGUAUCCUCUGAAUAAGCACCGGCUCAUGAGGUUCCAGCAGCCGCGGUAAUACGUAGGGUGCAAGCGUUAAUCGGAAUUACUGGGCGUAAAGCGUGUGUAGGCGGUUCGGAAAGAAAGAUGUGAAAUCCCAGGGCUCAACCUUGGAACUGCAUUUUUAACUGCCGAGCUAGAGUAUGUCAGAGGGGGGUAGAAUUCCACGUGUAGCAGUGAAAUGCGUAGAUAUGUGGAGGAAUACCGAUGGCGAAGGCAGCCCCCUGGGAUAAUACUGACGCUCAGACGCGAAAGCGUGGGGAGCAAACA